rnacentral:rRNA from 1 species
CCUACGGGAUGCUGCAGUGGGGAAUAUUGGGCAAUGGGCGCAAGCCUGACCCAGCAAUGCCGCGUGAAGGAAGAAGGCUUUCGGGUUGUAAACUUCUUUGACAGGGGAAGAGCAGAAGACGGUACCCUGAAAACAAGCCACGGCUAACUACGUGCCAGCAGCCGCGGUAAUACGUAGGUGGCAAGCGUUGUCCGGAUUUACUGGGUGUAAAGGGCGUGUAGCCGGGAAGGCAAGUCAGAUGUUAAAUCUGGAGGCUCAACCUCCAAAUUGCAUUUGAAAAUGUUUUUCUUGAGUACUGGAGAGGCAGACGGAAUUCGUUGUGUAGCGGUGAAAUGCGUAGAUAUAAGGAGGAACACCAGUGGCGAAGGCGGUCUGCUGGACAGCAACUGACGGUGAGGCGCGAAAGCGUGGGGAGCAAACAGGAUUAGAUACCCUAGUAGUC